UAAGCGGAGGAAAAGAAACUAACAAGGAUUCCCCUAGUAACGGCGAGUGAAGCGGGAAAAGCUCAAAUUUGAAAUCUGGCAGCCUCAGGUUGCCCGAGUUGUAAUCUAUAGAAACGUUUUCCGCGCCGGCCCAUGUACAAGUCCCUUGGAACAGGGCGUCAUAGAGGGUGAGAAUCCCGUCCUUGACACGGACCACCGGUGCUUUGUGAUACGUUUUCAACGAGUCGAGUUGUUUGGGAAUGCAGCUCAAAAUGGGUGGUAAAUUCCAUCUAAAGCUAAAUAUUGGCGAGAGACCGAUAGCGAACAAGUACCGUGAGGGAAAGAUGAAAAGCACUUUGGAAAGAGAGUUAAACAGUAUGUGAAAUUGUUGAAAGGGAAACGAUUGAAGUCAGUCGUGUCUAUUGGACUCAGCCGGUUCUGCCGGUGUACUUCCUUUAGAUGGGGUCAACAUCAGUUUUGAUCGCUGGAAAAGGGCGGGAGGAAUGUAGCACUCUCGGGUGAACUUAUAUAGCCUUCCGUCGUAUACAGUGGUUGGGACUGAGGAACGCAGCAUGCCUUUAUGGCCGGGGUUCGCCCACGUACAUGCUUAGGAUGUUGAC
rnacentral:rRNA from 1 species